GAAGUUGCCUUUACGAGAUGCUGUGAGGACAAGCAUCUUAUCAAAGAUAUGGAGAUAUAAGUGGUGUAGACUUCCACAGAUGACGCUUGAUCAUACACUCUGGAAACCUAAUAGGAAUGUAACAUACAUUGCAAGUAAUUUUCCAAAGAUUGUCUCCCACAUUUUAAAACUUCAUGCAGGACCAAUUACAAAGUUAACCUUUUGGUUUCCUUAUUUUGUCAAAUGUCCUAAUAUUGACAAUUUGAUAUGUUUCCUCUCCAAGAAUGGCAUUCAGCAUCUUGUUCUUAAAAUUCCUAUUGGUAUAGCCCUUAUGAAUUGCCUUCUUCAUUUUUCACAUGUUCGCAGUUGAGGCAUUUGUCUCUCGAAAAUUGCCUAGUACGUCCUCCACCAGUCUUUAAGGGAUUUGAAAGGUUAAUUAGCCUAGAACUAUGUCGAGUCACUAUUUCUUCUGAAUUUCUUGGAAGUUUAAUCUCCGAUUCCCCGCUGCUUGAGCAUUUGGUGCUCGAACCGUCAUGUGAUUUAUCUCACAUUGAAGUCGAUGCUCCCAAGCUGAGGUCAUUUUUCUUCAUAGGCGGUAUACAUAUAAUUCGUCUGCAAAAUAUCCCUCUUCUCGCAAAAGUUUCGAUUCUGUUUAGACAAUUUUCUGUGAAGGCAAGAAAACCUGAUCUUGCCAAGUUUUUUUAGCCUAUUCAUGCUCUUGAGCAUCUCCACUGGGAUUGCUAUAAGUUUUGGCAUUUGUUUGCCGAAGCAGUUGAAGUACCAAGAAGGCUUUCCUCUGCUCUGAACUGUCUCGGUGUGCCUAGAUGAAUUACAUGAUCUUCAAGGUGCUCUUUGCUUGAUAAGGAGCUCUCCAUAUUUAGAAGAUAUUGAAAUGAAGGUGUAUCAAUGUUUUAAAAUGCUUGAUCCAGCGACUAGGGAUUAUGUUACUGAAAUUCCUGCAAGCUUCUCAGAUGUGACAUUGAAUCACCUCAGGGCAGUUAAGCUUAUAGGUGUAGCAGGAACAUGGCCUGAAAUGCAGCUUAUCAAGCUUCUAUUGGCCAAGUCUCCAGUGCUGGUCACAAUGGUAAUCGAGACCCCUAUGGACUGAAAGAUAAAAAAUCUCUUAAAGUAGUCGCAGAGAUAACAAAAUUUCCGCAGGUGUCAUCUAAAGCAGAAGUUGUAUAUAAUGUAGAUUAGUGUCCGUAGUUGCGCUUGAUCUUCACCAGCCUUUAAUCAGUUCAUGAAUCUUUGGCUAAAAUGUUUUUGGAAGUUAAAAGUGUGAAAAUAGAAACAAAUGUUGAUGCAGUACUAUAAAGUUGUGUUUUGCCUUUGCCAUAAGAUAGUGAGUAGACUAUAUUAGUUUGGGAACAAGUGUAUCUGGAUGGAUGUUCUGAGUAGUAGUUCAUGCCUGAUUGU